CCCGCCCAAUCUUCCCUCUUCCUAAAAACCCCCAAAUUCCCAAAACAAGCAACUUUGAUUUGAAUACCGCCAAUAAAUUCUUUGAUUACAGUGAGAAAUCUAGCAUACAAAACAAGUUUAUAACAAUAACUCACUCUCACCUUCCUUAUCGUACACAUCCCACACCACUUCUUCCCUUCCAACACCACCAAUUUCUACUUUCUAGGGUUUUUCUAUGUCAUUCCCACUUACACUCUGAGAUCCACCACAAAAUCCACAAUUUUCUCACCAUUCUUGUCAUCUUAGACCUCCAUUGGCGAAAAUGAAGUCUGGAAAGAAGGAUUUGGAUUCUUACACUAUCAAAGGCACUAACAAAGUUGUUCGAAGGAGACGAAGGUACCACCACCGUCGAUGUAGUUGGCUGGCACUCUCUCUCUCUUUCUCUCUCUCUCUCAUGUAUCGGAAGUGACUCAUUUGUGAGAUUGGACGGUUACAAGAGGACGAUUGGUGGCCAUUUAUGCUGUAGAAAGAACAGGGGGCUAGGGUUUGGGAAAAAAAUAAUGUUUCUUCUUCUUCUUCAAAGCCUCUGACCCUCUCACGAACACACACAUAACCUUUGAUUUUGGAUCUUUCGGUGUAUAUUAAUUGACUCGAUUGGAGGUGAUGCAUCAUUAUGAAUUUGGUUCUGAUUUGACGAGGCUAUGUUUUGAUCAACAGGUUUUGCAUCAUUUGUUAAUAGUGGAGAAGCAAGAGGUGGCAUAUCUGGAUCUUUUGGAUUAGGUUUCAAGGAACAAAAUGGGACGUGGCUAAUUUCUACAGCUUGCACUCAGCUAUUGAGUAGGCCACAAGAGCUUAAUGAGCAAGGUCGUGCGCUGGAGAUAGCAAUAGAAGCAGCAACACUUGCAAGUAUUGACCCUAAAGAUAGUUUAAAUGAGUGGGGCAACAAAGUGGGUGAUGGUGACCACAAAUCAAUAGUCGCCCCUUGUUGCUGCCGCUGCUGUUUCUAACACCAUGGCUUUCUUCUGGCAUAAAGGAAUUUGUUCAUAAGCUCAAGGAAAGUGGUAAGACUGGUUAUUUGAUAUCCAAAGGUUUUUGUCAAAUGAUCAAUGUAAAUGUGGUAAGUAUUGCCGGAGCUUUUUUACAUGGGCUGGAGGAUAAAUAUUAUAAGCCAUGCAUCUUUGUUUUGUCGAGGCGUGUUUAUAUGAUAACGAUGAGGUUAGUGGUGCACUUAGUUUGUUUAUUUAUCCUCAACAUCCUCUAUCUCUUAAAAUGAAGGAAGUAAUUGACUCGGCACACAAUGUUCAACCUGGCCCAAGCAUCACUAGAAAAUAACCAGUUGACAUUAGGUUUGUGACAUGACUACAAUAUAUAAAUACAAUUGUAGGUGGUGGUUCUGUUGAUGGGCAAAGAGACAUCGGAACUAACCACUAGUUAUAAGUUUACUCACUACCACAACACCAGCAAGGUGGCCACCGGUCCAUGGAUGCAAACUUGCAUCACUCUGAAAUAUGGACUUGAAGAAAACAACCGAGAAAUAGCUCUUAGUUUGUGUGUACAUUUGUUUCCUUUUGUAACUUUUGUAGAUAGGUUUUGAUUAGAAAACUUAUGUAUUUAAAUGUAGAACUUAUGUAUGGGUUUUUUAUUAUUAUUGUUAAUAUCAUUUGUUUUAUAAAUUA